rnacentral:ncRNA from 1 species
UAAAGGUUUGGUCCCGACCUUAAUAUCAGCUUUAACCUAAUUUAUACAUGCAAGUAUCCGCACCCCCGUGAAAAUGCCCUCAUAACCCCGUCCGGAAACGAGGAGCUGGCAUCAGGCACACUACCUUGCCCAAGACGCCUUGCUACGCCACACCCCCAAGGGAACUCAGCAGUGAUAAACAUUAAGCCAUAAGUGAAAACUUGACUUAGUUAGGGUUAAUUAGGGUCGGUCAAACUCGUGCCAGCCACCGCGGUUAUACGAGAGACCCUAGUUGAUAUACACGGCGUAAAGAGUGGUUUGGGGUAUAUAAUAAAUAAAGCCAAAGACCUUCUAGGCCGUUGAACGCACCACGAAGGAACGAAGUCCCAAUACGAAAGUAGCUUUAUAAAGCCUGACGCCACGAAAGCUAAGAAACAAACUGGGAUUAGAUACCCCACUAUGCUUAGCCUUAAAUUUAGACAUAUAUAAUACAAAUAUGUCCGCCGGGGUACUACGAGCCCUAGCUUAAAACCCAAAGGACUUGACGGUGUCUCAGAUCCCCCUAGAGGAGCCUGUUCUAGAACCGAUAAUCCCCGUUAAACCUCACCACCCCUUGCCAUUUCCGCCUAUAUACCGCCGUCGUAAGCUCACCCUGUGAAGGUUUAAUAGUAAGCAAAAUGAGUAAAUCUCAAAACGUCAGGUCAAGGUGUAGCUUAUGGGGUGGAAAGAAAUGGGCUACAUUUUCUAUAACAGAAUAUUACGGACAACACCAUGAAACGGGUGUUUUAAGGUGGAUUUAGUAGUAAAAAACAAAUAGAGCGUGUUUUUGAAUUAGGCUCUGAGACGCGUACACACCGCCCGUCACUCUCCCCCCAAAAAAUUACUUCAGUAAAUAACCCAUAAAAUAAAAACCCGGGGAGGCAAGUCGUAACAUGGUAAGUGUACCGGAAGGUGCACUUAGAAAAUU